rnacentral:RNase_P_RNA from 1 species
CCAGACGGUCGGACGGUCGCUGUGGCGUAUGCAAAUACGCGAUGGAGGAAAGUCCGGGCUCCACGGGAGAACGGUGCCGGUUAACGACCGGCGAGGGUGACCUUAGGGAAAGUGCCACAGAAAACAGACCGCCUUCCGGGUCUGCCAUGGGAAAUCAUGGGAGGCUGAAGGUAAGGGUGAAACGGUGCGGUAAGAGCGCACCGCUCCGAUGGUAACAGAGGAGGCAGGGCAAACCCCACCGGGAGCAAGACCGAAUAGGAGCGGCCGAAAUCCGCAUGGAUUUCAGGGGUUCUCCCGCCCCGUCGCUCGGGUUGGUUGCGUGAGGCACGCCGCAAGGCGGGUCCCAGAGGAAUGACCGUCCAGGCCCCUUCGGGGGCUAGACAGAACCCGGCUUACAGACCGUCUGGCAUU